rnacentral:lncRNA from 1 species
CCACAGGUGAAUGGCCAAUAGCCACCAUCAAGAAAAAAAAGGGGAAAAUCUGGUCGGUCCCUCUUUUUUCGCACCUUUUUCUUGACUCUCGCCGGCUGUCAUCCCUUGCUCCACUACCAUCGGUCGCCUGUUGCCACUGUCCGUUGUCAAUCUUUUGACCAUCAAUCACUAAGAGCCACUAUCCCUUCCUCCUCUGUUCAGCCA